UACGGAAGGUGCGAGCGUUAAUCGGAAUUACUGGGCGUAAAGCGCACGUAGGUGGUUUUAUAAGUCGGAUGUGAAAGCCCCGGGCUUAACCUGGGAAUUGCAUCUGAUACUGUCUGACUAGAGUAUGCUAGAGGGAAGUGGAAUUCCAGGUGUAGCGGUGAAAUGCGUAGAUAUCGGGAGGAACACCAGUGGCGAAGGCGACUACCUGGCCCAUUCUUGACGCUGAGGCGCGAAAGCUAGGGGAGCGAACGGG
rnacentral:rRNA from 1 species